rnacentral:rRNA from 1 species
UAGGGAAUCUUCGGCAAUGGGGGGAACCCUGACCGAGCAACGCCGCGUGAGUGAAGAAGGUUUUCGGAUCGUAAAGCUCUGUUGUUAAGGAAGAACGAGUGUGAGAAUGGAAAGUUCAUACUGUGACGGUACUUAACCAGAAAGGGACGGCUAACUACGUGCCAGCAGCCGCGGUAAUACGUAGGUCCCGAGCGUUGUCCGGAUUUAUUGGGCGUAAAGCGAGCGCAGGCGGUUAGAAAAGUCUGAAGUGAAAGGCAGUGGCUCAACCAUUGUAGGCUUUGGAAACUGUUUAACUUGAGUGCAGAAGGGGAGAGUGGAAUUCCAUGUGUAGCGGUGAAAUGCGUAGAUAUAUGGAGGAACACCGGUGGCGAAAGCGGCUCUCUGGUCUGUAACUGACGCUGAGGCUCGAAAGCGUGGGGAGCGAACAGGAUUAGAUACCCUGGUAGUCCACGCCGUAAACGAUGAGUGCUAGGUGUUAGGUCCUUUCCGGGACUUAGUGCCGCAGCUAACGCAUUAAGCACUCCGCCUGGGGAGUACGGCCGCAAGGUUG